rnacentral:lncRNA from 7 species
AAGGGACAAGGGCACAGAUGAAAGGGAAGAUGAAACCUGGUGAGAAGGCGAGGGGACUGCCACACACACCAGGUAAAUGAGAUUCUUCAGUGCCUUCACCUCCUACACAGAAAGGGCAAACAGCAGUGGGUUGAACAUGACACCCAGCCUCUCUCCCUCUUUCUGUCUUCUCAAAUAUACACACAUUUUGACAUGGGUUAGUGGGCAUAGUGGGGAUGGGUUGAUGGUUGGACUUGACCUUAGAGGUCUUUUCCAAUCUUAAUGAUGCUAUGAUUCUAUGUUUGUUCACCUUUCCACUGCCUAUUCCACUACUUUUGCUGGCUGGACUUUCUAUCUACCCCCAGCACAGCUUACCGUGCACUUUCUAGAAAAUCAGGCUUUUAUAACCAACUUAUCUCAGUUUUUUCCAUCCUUUAAGGUGGAAAAACUCAUCCUCAUUUAAAGAGAAGGGGAUGGUGAGCUACAUCAGAUUCUGCUGCUAAAUACAUCCACGCUCACUCUCCCUCAUAUUCAGCCUCUGUAUUCGUGGCUAUUAUGACAAAACAUAUCUGAGGUAUUUUUGCUGGAUCCAAUUUACCUUCAUGCACAGAGGUUAUACUUUUCCUUGACCUGCUCGACCCAUUUUAAUAUUAACAAAUUGAGCAUUUAUAUGGGUUCCUUUCCAAACACGAAGUUGAUUAGGAAUUUGGGAAAUGCUGGUGAUUUAGAGAUUAACCUUUUACAGAAUUACUGACAUAAACCAGAGCUAUUAUGGUAUCAGAAUCUAUGUAAAAGAAAGCCAACAGAAUAGCAUGUUUAGAGCCACGUAAAAGACUUUCCAUCCACCAGUUUACCUCUUUUUUACAGCAGAGAAAUCUGAUGAAAGGAAAGGAGUGAGCACAAUCCACCUCUAAAGUUAUCUGGAGGGAAGCAAGGCUACAAAAAUAUUACAGAAACCAAGCAACAAUCUUCUGCUGGCAUGACAGAGCCUGUAAUCGGGUGGGUGGCUGUGAAGAGCCAAGCUGAAUGCUACAGAGCACUGUAAUUUUAUUGCAGUGUGGCUGCUUUAAAGCAAACCCAUUUGCAAUGAAAUCUGUACUUCCGUGAGAACAUGGCAAUUGUUUUUGUUAUAAAGAUAACGUCACUUGUUGGCAUUCAGAAGCAAUUAUUCAGCCUUUAAGCCAAUUACGGCUCCAACUCGCCUUUGCUGGUGUGACAGUUGGGUGAGAGAGGCAAAUGUAGCAGGCUGCAGUGGCUAAAGAACAGCAUCGUGUGUGCCUGUGCUUGGCAAACAGCACAUACUAUGCUGCUAAGGCACUUUUUAUUUUAAACCAUUUUGCUGCUCUCAUGUUCUUCACAUCCUCACGCAGUAACUACAGCCAGAGAUGUCCUUCAGCAUGGGUGCUAUGGGAACCCGACUGAUCCCGUGCCGUGACUGAGCUAACAAAGCCUAAACCCGAGAUUUCAAAGGUAAUAGAAUUUCACAGGCAGAGUGAAUCAAAGGUUGGUGGGAGGGAAGCCCUGAAAAUCCCAAAAUAAACUGCAAGAACAGCCCACAGCUGCAGAAUUCCAGAGGUUCGGAUUCCUUUAUCAGCUGCCAGCCUUGUGAAACACAUCUACAAUCAAAUCUGUUUGAAAGCUGAGAGCAAAGCACACUCCUGGGAGUAAACCCAAACCUGUCUCUAACUCAAUGCCUCUGCUGACAGUUUGGCUUGCCAAGAGGUCUGGUAAAUACUAAAAAAACCCCAUUCAUAAUGAGAUAAACAACCUUGGGAUUUUUUGUUCCCUUUUUUUCAAACUUUGCUCCAUCCUAAAAUUCAUAGUGACAAAGAACUGACUUCUCCAAUCCAGAUAAUAUCCCAAAGCAAUUUUCCGACAACAAACAGAAAUUUGUGGCUGCUGCUUAAAGGUUUGCAAUCUUCAUACUAAGGAGGCAACCACAUGUCAAAUGUUUACCUUAAUUCCAUGUAAAUAUCACCUCAUAUUGGACAUUCUGCAUUUCUCUGUCUGCAUCUGCAUCUGCUUUCAUCUUCACACCUAUUGCUGUCAGAUGAAUUCCUCAAACAACUGCUUGUGAUGAAUUUAACAUCUAAUUGCUGUAAACUAAUAAAGUGAAUAUGAGUCCUAUGACCCUAAC